CAUGCAGUCGAACGAUGAAGCCAGCUUGCUGGUGGAUUAGUGGCGAACGGGUGAGUAACACGUGAGUAACCUGCCCUUGACUCUGGGAUAAGCCUGGGAAACCGGGUCUAAUACUGGAUACGACCUUCCCACGCAUGUGGUGUUGGUGGAAAGCUUUUGUGGUUUUGGAUGGACUCGCGGCCUAUCAGCUUGUUGGUGGGGUAAUGGCCUACCAAGGCGACGACGGGUAGCCGGCCUGAGAGGGUGACCGGCCACACUGGGACUGAGACACGGCCCAGACUCCUACGGGAGGCAGCAGUGGGGAAUAUUGCACAAUGGGCGCAAGCCUGAUGCAGCGACGCCGCGUGAGGGAUGAAGGCCUUCGGGUUGUAAACCUCUUUCAGUAGGGAAGAAGCUGAUCUUUUGGGUUGGUGACGGUACCUGCAGAAGAAGCGCCGGCUAACUACGUGCCAGCAGCCGCGGUAAUACGUAGGGCGCAAGCGUUAUCCGGAAUUAUUGGGCGUAAAGAGCUCGUAGGCGGUUUGUCGCGUCUGCCGUGAAAGUCCGGGGCUUAACCCCGGAUCUGCGGUGGGUACGGGCAGACUAGAGUGCAGUAGGGGAGACUGNAAUUCCUGGUGUAGCGGUGAAAUGCGCAGAUAUCAGGAGGAACACCGAUGGCGAAGGCAGGUCUCUGGGCUGUAACUGACGCUGAGGAGCGAAAGCAUGGGGAGCGAACAGGAUUAGAUACCCUGGUAGUCCAUGCCGUAAACGUUGGGCACUAGGUGUGGGGGACAUUCCACGUUUUCCGCGCCGUAUCUAACGCAUUAAGUGCCCCGCCUGGGGAGUACGGGCCGCAAGGCUAAAACUCAAAGGAAUUGACGGGGNCCCGCACAAGCGGCGGAGCAUGCGGAUUAAUUCGAUGCAACGCGAA
rnacentral:rRNA from 1 species